rnacentral:rRNA from 1 species
ACGAACGCUGGCGGCGUGCCUAAUACAUGCAAGUUGAGCGCUGAAGGUUGGUACUUGUACCAACUGGAUGAGCAGCGAACGGGUGAGUAACGCGUGGGGAAUCUGCCUUUGAGCGGGGGACAACAUUUGGAAACGAAUGCUAAUACCGCAUAAAAACUUUAAACACAAGUUUUAAGUUUGAAAGAUGCAAUUGCAUCACUCAAAGAUGAUCCCGCGUUGUAUUAGCUAGUUGGUGAGGUAAAGGCUCACCAAGGCGAUGAUACAUAGCCGACCUGAGAGGGUGAUCGGCCACAUUGGGACUGAGACACGGCCCAAACUCCUACGGGAGGCAGCAGUAGGGAAUCUUCGGCAAUGGAAGAAAGUCUGACCGAGCAACGCCGCGUGAGUGAAGAAGGUUUUCGGAUCGUAAAACUCUGUUGGUAGAGAAGAACGUUGGUGAGAGUGGAAAGCUCAUCAAGUGACGGUAACUACACAGAAAGGGACGGCUAACUACGUG